UACGUAGGGUGCAAGCGUUAAUCGGAAUUACUGGGCGUAAAGCGUGCGCAGGCGGUGAUGUAAGACAGAUGUGAAAUCCCCGGGCUCAACCUGGGAACUGCAUUUGUGACUGCACCGCUGGAGUGCGGCAGAGGGGGAUGGAAUUCCGCGUGUAGCAGUGAAAUGCGUAGAUAUGCGGAGGAACACCGAUGGCGAAGGCAAUCCCCUGGGCCUGCACUGACGCUCAUGCACGAAAGCGUGGGGAGCAAACAGG
rnacentral:rRNA from 1 species